AACGAACGCUGGCGGCAGGCCUAACACAUGCAAGUCGAGCGAGGACUUCGGUUCUAGCGGCGGACGGGUGAGUAACGCGUGGGAAUGUGCCCUUCUCUACGGAAUAGCCCUGGGAAACUGGGAGUAAUACCGUAUACGCCCUAUUGGGGAAAGAUUUAUCGGAGAAGGAUCAGCCCGCGUUGGAUUAGGUAGUUGGUGGGGUAAUGGCCUACCAAGCCGCCGAUCCAUAGCUGGUUUGAGAGGAUGAUCAGCCACCCUGGGACUGAGACACGGCCCCGACUCCUACGGGAAGCAGCAGUGGGGAAUCUUAUACAAUGGGGACAACCCUGAUCUAGCCAUGCCGCGUGAGUGAUGAAGACCUUAGCGUUGUAAAUCUCUUUCAACUAGGAAGAUAAUGACGGUACCAGCAGAAGAAGCCCCGGCUAACUCCGUG
rnacentral:rRNA from 1 species